rnacentral:misc_RNA from 1 species
CAACCCUCAAGCUCUGCUUGGUAUUGGGCCUUGCCAUCACCGGCAGGCCUUAAAAUCAGUGGCGGUGCCGUCUGGCUCCAAGCGUAGUAAUUAUUCUCGCUUUGAAGUCUCUCGGUUGCUUGCCAACAACCCCCAAUUUUUUAA